rnacentral:rRNA from 1 species
GAUGAACGCUGGCGGCGUGCCUAAUACAUGCAAGUCGAGCGAACGGACGAGAAUCUUGCUUCUCUGAUGUUAGCGGCGGACGGGUGAGUAACACGUGGAUAACCUACCUAUAAGACUGGGAUCACUUCGGGAAACCGGAGCUAAUCCCGGAUAAUAUUUUGAACCGCAUUGUUCAAUAGUGAAAGACGGUCUUGCGGUAACUUAUAGAUGGAUCCGGGCUUCAUUAGCUAGUUGGUAAGGUAACGGCUUACCAAGGCAACGAUGCAUAACCGACCUGAGAGGGGGAUCGGCCACACUGGAACUGAGACACGGUCCAGACUCCUACGGGAGGCAGCAGUAGGGAAUCGUCCGCAAUGGGCGGAAGCCUGACGGAGCAACGCCGCGUGAGUGAUGAAGGUCUUCGGAUCGUAAAACUCUGUUAUUAGGGAAGAACAUAUGUGUAAGUAACUGUGCACAGCUUGACGGUACCUAAUCAGAAAGCCACGGCUAACUACGUG